rnacentral:rRNA from 1 species
UACAGAGGUGGCAAGCGUUGUUCGGAAUUACUGGGCGUAAAGGGCGCGUAGGUGGCCUUAUUAGUCAGACGUGAAAUCCCCGGGCUUAACUCGGGAACUGCGUCUGAUACUGGAAGGCUCGAGUUCGGGAGAGGAAUGUGGAAUUCCAGGUGUAGCGGUGAAAUGCGUAGAUAUCUGGAGGAACACCGGUGGCGAAGGCGGCAUUCUGGACCGAAACUGACGCUGAGGCGCGAAAGCCAGGGGAGCAAACGGG